rfam:Triticum aestivum genome assembly, contig: Triticum_aestivum_CS42_TGACv1_scaffold_321581_4BL
AGCUGUGUGGUGAGCACAUAGCGAACUUCUUUCGCCUUUUACUAAAGAAUACCGUGGGCUCGCCACACCAAGAAGCAUACACCAAUUUUUUGAGGGUUGCUUCUCCUUGUGAGAAGGU